GUGGGAGCGAGCUUGCUCGCGAUGGCGGUGGACCAGUCAACAUCGAUGUUGACUGACCUGGCCCUAUCGCGAGCAAGCUCGCUCCCAC
rnacentral:misc_RNA from 1 species